rnacentral:rRNA from 1 species
AUUGAACGCUGGCGGCAGGCCUAACACAUGCAAGUCGAGCGGAGCGGCGGACGGGUGAGUAAUGCCUAGGAAUGUGCCUGACAGAGGGGGAUAACGACCGGAAACGGGCGCUAACACCGCAUACUAUCCGACAAGCCUGGGUCGGAUUAGCUAGUUGGUGGGGUAAAGGCCUACCAAGGCGACGAUCCGUCACUGGUCUGAGAGGAUGAUCAGCCACACUGGAACUGAGACACGGUCCAGACUCCUACGGGAGGCAGCAGUGGGGAAUAUUGGACAAUGGGCGAAAGCCUGAUCCAGCCAUGCCGCGUGUGUGAAUAAGGCCUUCGGAUUGUAAAGCACUUUAAGUUGGGAGGCGUUACCAACAGAAGAAGCACCGGCUAACUUCGUGCCAGCAGCCGCGGUAAUUC